ensembl:lncRNA ALDH1L1-AS2 ALDH1L1 antisense RNA 2
AAUCAGGGAAGACCUUUCCCUGUCACAGAAUGGGGUCGAGGGGCCCAGGAAACAGGUAGUCCCCAGUCACAAAUCAUCGCGUCGCCUUCGCUGGUCCCUUUCUCUUAUCGAGCCUCAGUUUUCUCUUCCAUAAGCCGGGCCAGCAGUGCCCACCCCACAGGUUGGCGCCAGCUCCGUAAGGGCCCUACCACCGCGGCCGGCCAGAUCCUCGGCGGGCCAGUCCUGGCGCUGCGGUCAUUUAGCCUGAUGACCCCUGGCCAGGUUCAGCCUCAAUUGCUCCAAAGAACUCCGGACCCGUACCCCGAGCCCGGCGUCCCAGCGGCGAAGUUGAUGGGCCCCGCAGGAGCCCUUGCGGUGAGAACCGAGUCCUGGAGCCCCUGGAGCCCCCGGAGCCCCCGGAGCUGCAGCCGGGGCAGCCUCCUUUCCGCCGGGAGUCCAGCGCUCUCGAGAGCCCAGAAACUCACCGCGCGCAGGAGUUGGUGCGGGCGUCCCGGGCAGGUUAGACUUCUGUGAGCCGCAGCCCCGAAACUGAGGGCCCUGGAAAUGGGGGAUCUCCUGCCUUGACAGCUCAUCAGUACGUGUGAAAAGCCAACAAGAGUGGAUAUGAUAGGAACUGCAAUCACACAGCACUUUGGAGAAUGUGAAGAUUGGUGCUCACAGCAGAAGUUAACACACUGAUGCUGUGAUCACUGUUCAGUAGGUGGAAUGGUCCUUAGUGAUCCUUGAAGAGUAGCUGCAACUGGAAGACACAGAAUGGAGAGGGUGGAUCAUGCAAAUGAAAAGAUGGGCUCCAACAUUCAGCGGAAGGAAUUUAUGGUUGGUUCCCCCGUUUUUUUGUUGGCGGUGGUGGUUUAUUUUCAUUCCCCAUGCCCGGUCCUUCUGAUGGCACUCACUGAUUUGGCUCUAGGGCACAAGUCUAUGUUGCAUGCAGUCCUGGUGUAACAAUCAAUUGAGGCAUUUCCUGGGCGAGGAGCUGGGACACGGGCCAAGCCAAUCAGACUCUGGUUCCCCCAGGACGCUGAGUCAUAGUGGAGCCAUGCCAAGACGGAAACAGCUGACCUGCUGUGCUGCUGCCAUGGCUCCCUGAGGAGUGUCCCUCAGUUCCUAAGAGGGGACUGUCUGCACGCUGGCUCUUAUGGGUUGAUUUUGCACUUUUUCUUUGAUUCUGAGAGCUACCCACAUCCUCUCCAAUUCUUGCUCCAGUCAACCAGACACAGUUUCUAUUGCUUGCGGUGGAAGACAUGCCCAUGCAGAAGGCGUCAAGGCUCUUGGGAAGAUGGGGAGUGGCAUGUGUUCUCAUGGUGUUCACAGCUGCACAUGGGAAACACCUCAUUGCCUUCGCACAACAAACCCAAGAGGGAGGGGGUUCCUUCCCCAAUUCUGCAAAUGGAAAAACUGAGGCUCAGAGGGGAAAUUGAUCUCUCAGUGUCACAGCCAAUGAAUGACAGAGGGAAAGUUGUGGUCCAGGGCUGAGUCCGGGUUCCACAGUGUGUAGAUGAAUUUCUUCAACCCCUUCAUCAUGUGACAAGAGCCACAAGGUCUCCAGGCCUCCUGGACAUGACAGGUGUUUGCUCACAAACUGAAACUUUCUCUGCUGGGUCACACCCUCCUCGCCCAUCCCUACUCUUGGUGCAGGGCAUGAGCUGGACCCUGGAAGACCAAUGGGUAUUCAACUUUCAGAAAGCCUUGGCGAGGUCUAGUGAUGAAAUAAUUUUGUCAUUUGGAAUGCUGACAAAAAAAAUUUGAAUUUUUCGGCCAUAGUUUCAUUUCCAUAAAUCACUUCAUUCUUAUCCUAAUCCUUCCCCAACUGUUUGUCAAAAUUCCCAUCAAAUAUUUUUCCACUUGGAAGACUGAUUUUUAACACUCAUACCCCACCCCCACCAGGCCACGGUGUGGACAUUUUUCAUUCCUAAAGUCAGGAGGCCAGAGACAUUUCCAAGAGAGAUCAAAGCACUUGCUGGCCACGUUGGAAAAUGAGAAGGGAGGAUAAGGGUGUGAAGGGGCAUCCUGCCUCCAGGAGGGACCCCCUCCAAGUGAGUUAAGAGAUGUGGGCCAGGAGGGCUGAGCAGUAGCAUCCACUGGGAAGCCCUGGGCUCCAGGCCCAGCCCUGUAGCUGCCUCACUGGACAAGCCCUUCCAGCUGGCCUCGGAGGACAUGGACCAUCUUCCCGGGUUUGGCUGUGUAUCCCAGUAGCACCAUGGAGUAGCCAGGGCCCUUGGCCAGGCCACUAAACUACACCGUACCCCCCUUGUCAUCUGUUGCAUGCAGGCAUCAGAAUUUACCUUUAAAGAAGUGUUUCUCAAACUUGAGUCACUUAGUUUUCAUGGCAUAUUUAUACAAUAUAUGUGCGAUUAUUAAAAGUUUCCUUUAAAUCAAA